AUGCUUGUUGAAACAGAAAAAUAUGAACUUUAUGAGUUAUUCUACUUACUCAUCAAAUCCACACCGAUCUUACCGGUGGUGAUGGCAAGUGUUGAAGGAGUAUUUUCUUCAAUGAAUCUAGUGGAAAAUAAGUUGAGAAAUAGUGGGCAAUGA
rnacentral:rRNA from 1 species